rnacentral:rRNA from 1 species
UACGGAGGAUGCGAGCGUUAUCCGGAUUUAUUGGGUUUAAAGGGUGCGUAGGCGGAUUAAUAAGUCAGUGGUGAAAACCUUCAGCUUAACUGGAGACUUGCCAUUGAUACUGUUAGUCUUGAGUAUGGUUAAGGUAGGCGGAAUGUGUAAUGUAGCGGUGAAAUGCUUAGAUAUUACACAGAACACCAAUUGCGAAGGCAGCUUACUGAGCCAUAACUGACGCUGAUGCACGAAAGCGUGGGGAGCGAACAGGAUUAGAUACCCUGGUAGUCCACGCCGUAAACGAUGAUCACUCGCUGUUGGCGAUACACAGUCAGCGGCUAAGCAAAAGCAUUAAGUGAUCCACCUGGGGAGUACGGCCGCAAGGCUGAA